UUGUUUAGAAUUUAUUUGAGUUUAUUAAGUAUACAGCAAGCAGGAGGAAAAGUCUAAGACAGUAAGCAAGCAGCGGAUGUGAGACACCUCUGUAACAAAACAGCCAGCUGCAGCCUCUAGUCCACAAAGAGGAUCCUGGGCAGAAAGUCUUUUCCUGGCUCCUCUGGCAGAAAAACUGGGCCUCGAAGCCAAGGAUUAGUGCCCUAGGAGAGGAAAGGCAAAUCCAGCAAGGCACAGACCAGCUCCCUGAUUUGGGAAAUCAUGACAUCACUUUGAAGUGCCUACAGCUACAACCACAAGUUGCCUAGCUUGUGCCUGGAGACUGUCAGUGACCAGUUGGCUAUGGACCCAUGGUUCUGAACACUUGCCUGCACCCAUUACUAACAAUUGUCUGUGGCUUGGGACCUGAGCAGAUCCUACAGGAGCCAUGACUCAAACACUGUUCCGGGUAUAUCACUCCAAAGUUAACAAAGAAGAGUCCAGCUGGCAGGGGCCUUCUAGAGACUGAUUUCAGCCAAAUUCUUGUGAGCACAGAAAGAAUCCAGAAAAGU